rnacentral:rRNA from 1 species
UACGUAGGGGGCGAGCGUUGUCCGGAUUCAUUGGGCGUAAAGCGCGCGCAGGCGGUUGGGAGAGCCCGGCGUGAAAGCCCCCAGCUCAACUGGGGGAGGCCGUCGGGGACCUUCCGACUGGAGGCCGGUAGGGGCGAGCGGAAUUCCCGGUGUAGUGGUGGAAUGCGUAGAUAUCAGGAGGAACACCGGUGGCGAAGGCGGGUCUCUGGGCCUGCACUGACGCUGAGGAGCGAAAGCGUGGGGAGCGAACAGG